CUGAUGCAGCGACGCCGCGUGAGGGAUGAAGGCCUUCGGGUUGUAAACCUCUUUCAGCAGGGACGAAGCGUGAGUGACGGUACCUGCAGAAGAAGCACCGGCUAACUACGUGCCAGCAGCCGCGGUAAUACGUAGGGUGCGAGCGUUGUCCGGAAUUACUGGGCGUAAAGAGUUCGUAGGCGGUUUGUCGCGUCGUUUGUGAAAACCCGGGGCUCAACUUCGGGCUUGCAGGCGAUACGGGCAGACUUGAGUGUUUCAGGGGAGACUGGAAUUCCUGGUGUAGCGGUGAAAUGCGCAGAUAUCAGGAGGAACACCGGUGGCGAAGGCGGGUCUCUGGGAAACAACUGACGCUGAGGAACGAAAGCGUGGGUAGCAAACAGGAUUAGAUACCCUGGUAGUCCACGCCGUAAACGGUGGGCGCUAGGUGUGGGUUCCUUCCACGGGAUCUGUGCCGUAGCUAACGCAUUAAGCGCCCCGCCUGG
rnacentral:rRNA from 1 species